rnacentral:lncRNA from 1 species
UUCGGAGUUUUGGGCUUGUAGUUGCCAGCACACGCUCCCCUUCCCUCCAGAGUGACCUGGAGUAACUGGGAGGCGUCACAGCCCUUUCCUCUCGCCAGCUUGCACUUUGGAUAACGACACCCUGCUUGCUUGUAUCCCCUUUGCAGGUUUGACUAGACACAGUGUGCGAUUCACAGCCCCCUGGAGCUUGCCAUGUGGAAAAACAAUACCCUUGUGUACCCGAAACGUUCUUUAAUCCUUCUAGAUUAAAUAUAGGCGGUGGGCACCUGAAAGGAAACAGAGAAAGCGUCUGAACAGACUGAACACAGCCUUGAGUCUCUAGGCUAUGAAAAAAGAGAAGCCCUUGCACAUGUUACUGAAAUUCGACUCCUGAUGAAACACGCACCGCACAGGCUCAAGAUCACACCUUAAGAUCAGAAGAGAAGACAUCAAAACGCCAGGCAGACCUCCGUCUGUCUAUCUCGUUCUCUCCCUUUAUGACCAAGUACACCGCAGCUGUGGGGUUGGAGCCCAGUUUACCCUAAGAGAUCGGGCCACUGAGGGAUUUCCCUGCGCACCACAGCUCUGGGCUCCUGGCAGCAGGAGCCUGCCUGUGGGGUUGUGACAGCCCAGGAAGGCUGAGCCGCUGGAGGAGCCUGCAAGAGCCCCUCUGCUUUGUGCCACUCACUCGGGGAAGACUGGGCACAGAACCACACAGCCCAGAUCUCAUGGGAGCAGCAUCAAAAGUUACUUGCGUCACUCCUCGCUGAGAGUCAGACAAAAUCUGACAAACCUGAAAAGGACAAAAGAGCACCGCUGCCCAGCAAAAAUCGGCCAACAGAGCUUUCACCACUUUCUUUCUUCCCUCAAGUAGAUCAUAGCAGACUCGAAUCACCUUGUCCCCUCCGUCCCUUCGACAUCUGUGUGCCAGGCAUCCAGCCCGGUCAAGAGGUCCGUGACCAGAAGGAAGGAACCCAGCCCUUUCUAAACAGGACAUCAUUUGAGUCCCCUAACAGAAAUCUCAACUCUUCAGGACUUCAAAAACCUGACGAAUGGGCUGUAGGAUCACCUGGUCGCAGGACCCUAAUGACACAGCUUUGGGUACCGCCGGCAGGAGGGGGGUCUCUGAAGGCGACAGACUCCUCCAGCAGAAGCACCGAGGAGCACCUUCCACUCCAGCAAUGCCUGGCCACGUCCUGGACACGGGACCUCCCAGCUCCGAGGAGCCCCCCGUGCUGCACCGAGCACCCCUCGGCUGCCCCUGCGUGACCCCCCAGGGCAGGCCCUCUGCUGAUGGCCACGGGCACACCUACGGGAGGUAUGGCAGAAGAUAA